CAGCCGCCACGGGAAUACAGAGGGUGCGAGCGUUAAUCGGAUUUACUGGGCGUAAAGCGUGCGUAGGCGGCUUCUUAAGUCGGAUGUGAAAUCCCUGAGCUUAACUUAGGAAUUGCAUUCGAUACUGGGAAGCUAGAGUAUGGGAGAGGAUGGUAGAAUUCCGGGUGUAGCGGUGAAAUGCGUAGAGAUCUGGAGGAAUACCGAUGGCGAAGGCAGCCAUCUGGCCUAAUACUGACGCUGAGGUACGAAAGCAUGGGGAGCAAACAGGAUUAGAUACCCCCGUAGUCCCUGUCUCUUAUAC
rnacentral:rRNA from 1 species